AUGCCGACCCGAGAGGACGAAUAUGAAUAUGAAACCCUAGAAGAAUCUAAAUAUGGAAUCCUAGAAGACGAAUACGAAUAUGAAACCCUAGAAGACGAAUAUGGGAGCCCAGAAAACGAAUAUGGGAACCCAGAGAACGAAUAUAGGACUUUAGAGAAAGACUCAGAAGAGGAAUAUGGGUGCCCAGAGAGCAAAUAUAGGACCCAAGAGGACGAAUAUGGAACUAUAGAGGAAGACUCAGAAGACGAAUAUGGCAGCCCCGGGGAAAGCGCAGAGGAAAAAUAUGGUACUUUAGAGGAAGACUCAGAAGAAGAUUCAGAGGAUGAAUACGAGAGCCCAGAGGAAGAUUCCAUCUUAAAAAAAGAGGGUUUGAUUGAGCAUCGAGGAACAAAAGAAUUUAGUCUAAAA
rnacentral:rRNA from 1 species